rnacentral:lncRNA from 1 species
UGUUACCUUUGCUACCUUGCGCGCGCCAUGUUGUUUCUCACCUCCAAGGCCUGAUUGCCGUCCCUGUCAGCAGACUAUGGACUGAAACCUCUACAAAUGCAUGAGGAACUUCACUGAGUGCUGACACUAUGCUCUUGGACUGGCAGCCUCUGGAACUGUGUACAGAGUUUGUCCUGGGAAAAUGUAUAGAUGCCAGCUGCAGUUUUACCUUUGGAAAGAAUGCCAAAUCGGUAAUCACAACAAAGCCUCUCCAAACAAACCAUGGUUUACUCAUCAUCUAUAUAAGGCAAAGGAAAAAGAAAAAGGUAAAAUUAUGAACUGGACCUCAGGACUACUGGAUUUUGCUCCAUACUUGUUCGCUAGACAGCUGUAUGGCUUUAGCAGCUUCGAAGGCGAGGAUUGUGCUAAAACUUCAGCCAUUACAGAACUGGAUUAUGGACACACAUGACCUAUUCAAGUAAUUCCCAAACCCAGCUGCUGAUCAGUAUCACUAGGGAGCUCCUAGUGAUACUCCAUGUACCCGCAGAAAUUGAUUCAAUGUCUGUGGCAAGAGGAAUCUGUUUUUCAAUGCAUUAAUCCAAGUAUUCCUAAUGUAUGUCUUGCUUAGAAUGAUAAAUCAAUCUUUCUUUCAUCAUUUUUAUCAGUACAUAUUUGCAGUACAUAAUGUUUACAUUCCUUGUGUGGAAUUGGUAUGGCACAUAACACAUCCCCAAAAUCUGGCCUGACAUUGAAGACCUUACAAAAUGUGGCCCCACCCUACCGCGGUAGAGGGGUUUUGUCACAGUGUUACUUCCAUCCCACCACCAUGCAUGUUGCUUACCAGUGAUUUUAUGCAUGUUAAUUUCUCUCAGUUUUUGCCAACACAUCAAACUAUGACUCCUUCCUUUAAGACAUAACCCAGGUUUCUUGUGCCUAAGAAGUUGCUCCUCACUCCCUGAGCCAGCUUUAACUGUGUCCCUGUCUGGGUUUCCACAACACUCUGUUAAAACAUUGAUAAUAAACUAUAUUUCUUACCACUAGCUCACAAG